rnacentral:rRNA from 1 species
UACGUAGGGUGCGAGCGUUGUCCGGAAUUACUGGGCGUAAAGAGCUCGUAGGUGGUUUGUCGCGUCGUCUGUGAAAUUCCGGGGCUUAACUCCGGGCGUGCAGGCGAUACGGGCAUAACUUGAGUACUGUAGGGGAGACUGGAAUUCCUGGUGUAGCGGUGAAAUGCGCAGAUAUCAGGAGGAACACCGAUGGCGAAGGCAGGUCUCUGGGCCACUACUGACGCUGAGAAGCGAAAGCAUGGGGAGCGAACAGGAUUAGAUA